rnacentral:rRNA from 1 species
CGAGGGUGCGAGCGUUAAUCGGAAUUACUGGGCGUAAAGGGUGCGUAGGUGGCAUGAUAAGUCAGAUGUGAAAGCCCCGGGCUCAACCUGGGAACUGCAUUUGAAACUAUUAAGCUAGAGUAUGGUAGAGGGAAGUGGAAUUUCCGGUGUAGCGGUGAAAUGCGUAGAUAUCGGAAGGAACAUCAGUGGCGAAGGCGACUUCCUGGACCAAAACUGACACUGAGGCACGAAAGCGUGGGGAGCAAACAGGAUUAGAUACCCGAGUAGUCC